UACGUAGGGUGCGAGCGUUGUCCGGAAUUAUUGGGCGUAAAGAGCUUGUAGGCGGUUUGUCGCGUCUGCCGUGAAAAUUCGAGGCUCAACCCCGGACUUGCAGUGGGUACGGGCAGACUAGAGUGUGGUAGGGGAGACUGGAAUUCCUGGUGUAGCGGUGGAAUGCGCAGAUAUCAGGAGGAACACCGAUGGCGAAGGCAGGUCUCUGGGCCACUACUGACGCUGAGAAGCGAAAGCAUGGGGAGCGAACAGG
rnacentral:rRNA from 1 species